GUGGGGAAUCUUAGACAAUGGGGGAAACCCUGAUCUAGCCAUGCCGCGUGAGCGAUGAAGGCCUUAGGGUUGUAAAGCUCUUUCAGCUGGGAAGAUAAUGACGGUACCAGCAGAAGAAGCCCCGGCUAACUCCGUGCCAGCAGCCGCGGUAAUACGGAGGGGGCUAGCGUUGUUCGGAAUUACUGGGCGUAAAGCGCGCGUAGGCGGACCAGAAAGUUGGAGGUGAAAUCCCAGGGCUCAACCGUGGAACUGCCUUCAAAACUCCUGGUCUGGAGUUCGAGAGAGGUGAGUGGAAUUCCGAGUGUAGAGGUGAAAUUCGUAGAUAUUCGGAGGAACACCAGUGGCGAAGGCGGCUCACUGGCUCGAUACUGACGCUGAGGUGCGAAAGCGUGGGGAGCAAACAGGAUUAGAAACCCUUGUAGUCC
rnacentral:rRNA from 1 species